GAAUUUGAUCUUGGUUCAGGAUGAACGCUAGCUACAGGCUUAACACAUGCAAGUCGAGGGGCAGCAUGAUCGAAGCUUGCUUUGAUGAUGGCGACCGGCGCACGGGUGAGUAACGCGUAUCCAACCUUCCCUAUAGUAGAGAAUAGCCCGGCGAAAGUCGGAUUAAUGCUCUAUGUUGUAUUUAGAAGACAUCUGAAGAAUACCAAAGGUUUACCGCUAUAGGAUGGGGAUGCGUCUGAUUAGGUAGUAGGCGGGGUAACGGCCCACCUAGCCGACGAUCAGUAGGGGUUCUGAGAGGAAGGUCCCCCACAUUGGAACUGAGACACGGUCCAAACUCCUACGGGAGGCAGCAGUGAGGAAUAUUGGUCAAUGGACGGAAGUCUGAACCAGCCAAAGUAGCGUGCAGGAUGACGGCCCUAUGGGUUGUAAACUGCUUUUAUAUAGGGAUAAAGUCGGGGACGUGUCCCCGUUUGUAGGUACUAUAUGAAUAAGGACCGGCUAAUUCCGUGCCAGCCGCGGC
rnacentral:rRNA from 1 species